GACGAACGCUGGCGGCGUGCUUAACACAUGCAAGUCGAACGCGCCUGUCCUCUGGGUUUCUGGGGGGUGGGUGAGUGGCGAACGGGUGAGUAACACGUGAGUAACCUGCCCCCUUCUUCGGGAUAACGGUCUGAAAGGGCUGCUAAUACCGGGUAUUCACUGGUCUCCGCAUGGGGUCUGGUGGAAAGGUUUUUUUCUGGUGGGGGAUGGGCUCGCGGCCUAUCAGCUUGUUGGUGGGGUGAUGGCCCACCAAGGCUUUAACGGGUAGCCGGCCUGAGAGGGUGACCGGUCACAUUGGGACUGAGAUACGGCCCAGACUCCUACGGGAGGCAGCAGUGGGGAAUAUUGCACAAUGGGCGCAAGCCUGAUGCAGCGACGCCGCGUGAGGGAUGGAGGCCUUCGGGUUGUGAACCUCUUUCGCCCGUGGUCAAGCCGCGACGUGGGUCGUGGUGAGGGUAGUGGGUAAAGAAGCGCCGGCUAACUACGUG
rnacentral:rRNA from 1 species